UACAGAGGUCUCAAGCGUUGUUCGGAUUCAUUGGGCGUAAAGGGUGUGUAGGUGGCGCCGUUAGUCGGGUGUGAAAUUUCGGAGCUUAACUCCGAAACUGCAUUCGAUACUGCGGUGCUUGAGGACUGGAGAGGAGACUGGAAUUCAUGGUGUAGCAGUGAAAUGCGUAGAGAUCAUGAGGAAGACCAGUGGCGAAGGCGGGUCUCUGGACAGUUCCUGACGCUGAGGCACGAAGGCCAGGGGAGCAAACGGG
rnacentral:rRNA from 1 species